UGAGGCAGGAGAAUCGCUUGAACCCGGGAGACGGAGGUUGCAGUGAGCUGAGAUAGCACCACUGCACUCCAGCCUGGGUGACUGAGACUCCGUCUUAAAAAAAAAAAAA
rnacentral:miRNA from 1 species